rnacentral:rRNA from 2 species
AAUUUAAAAUCUGGCGGCUUUGGUCGUCCGAGUUGUAUCCUAGAGAAGUGUUUUCCGCGUUGGACCGUGUAUAAGUCUCUUGGAACAGAGCGUCAUAGAGGGUGAGAAUCCCGUCUUUGACACGGACUACCAAUGCUUUGUGAUACACUCUCAAAGAGUCGAGUUGUUUGGGAAUGCAGCUCAAAAUGGGUGGUAAAUUCCAUCUAAAGCUAAAUAUUGGCGAGAGACCGAUAGCGAACAAGUACCGUGAGGGAAAGAUGAAAAGCACUUUGGAAAGAGAGUUAAACAGUACGUGAAAUUGCUGAAAGGGAAACGAUUGAAGUCAGUCGCGUUAGCUAGAACUCAACCAGGCUUGCUUGGCGUAUUUUCUAGUUAACGGGCCAGCAUCAGUUUUGACUGCAGGAAAAAGGCCAGGGAAAUGUGGCACCUUCGGGUGUGUUAUAGUCUUUGGUCAUAUACUGCGAUUGGGACUGAGGUUCGCAGCACGCGCAAGCUGUGCUUAGGAUGCUGGCGUAAUGGCUUUAAACGACCCG